rnacentral:rRNA from 1 species
UGUAAGCGGUUGAAGGUGUGUGGUAACGCAUGCUGGACGUAUCAGAAGUGCGAAUGCUGACAUGAGUAACGAUAAAGGGGGUGAAAAACCUCCUCGCCGGAAGACCAAGGGUUCCUGUCCAACGUUAAUCGGGGCAGGGUAAGUCGACCCCUAAGGCGAGGCCGAAAGGCGUAGUCGAUGGGAAACGGGUUAAUAUUCCCGUACUUCUUACAAUUGCGAUGGGGGGACGGAGAAGGCUAGGUGGGCCUGGCGACGGUUGUCCAGGUUCAAGUGCGUAGGCUUAAGAGUUAGGUAAAUCCGGCUCUUUUUAAGGCUGAGACACGACGUCGAGCACCUACGGGUGUGAAGUCAUUGAUGCCAUGCUUCCAGGAAAAGCCUCUAAGCUUCAGAUUGUAAGGAAUCGUACCCCAAACCGACACAGGUGGUCGGGUAGAGAAUACCAAGGCGCUUGAGAGAACUCGGGUGAAGGAACUAGGCAAAAUGGUACCGUAACUUCGGGAGAAGGUAC